rnacentral:rRNA from 1 species
CCUACGGGAGGCAGCAGUGAGGAAUAUUGGUCAAUGGCCGUAAGGCUGAACCAGCCAAGUCGCGUGAAGGAAGAAGGAUCUAUGGUUUGUAAACUUCUUUUAUCGGGGAAUAAAGGUUUCCACGUGUGGCUAUUUGCAUGUACCCUAUGAAUAAGCAUCGGCUAACUCCGUGCCAGCAGCCGCGGUAAUGCGGAGGAUGCGAGCGUUAUCCGGAUUUAUUGGGUUUAAAGGGUGCGUAGGUUGUUUUUUAAGUCAGCGGUGAAAGUUUGUGGCUCAACCCUAAAGUUGCCGUUGAAACUGGAAGACGUGAGUGGGUUUGAGGUAGGCGGAAUGCGUGGUGUAGCGGUGAAAUGCAUAGAUAUCACGCAGAACUCCGAUUGCGAAGGCAGCUUACUAGGCCAUAACUGACGCUGAAGCACGAAAGCGUGGGGAUCAAACAGGAUUAGAUACCCCUGUAGUC